rnacentral:antisense_RNA from 1 species
GUGACGGGCCAGGUGUCCCGGCUGCCGCUGAGGACGUGCUCGCCGAGAUGGUCGCCGUCGGCGAGCGCGUCCCGCGAGACCUCGUCCCCGUAGGGCCCCGGAGUGCGGGUGCUGACCUUGCCGUGGGCCAGCAGUACCAGCUCGUCGGCGGGCAGACCCGCCGUCGUGAUGUUCUCGCCCGGCGCGUAGUGGUGCUGGGUGAACCGGUCGGCCAAGGCGGUCAGCACCGUCUCGUCGUCGAGUUCGCGCAGGGACGGUAUCUCGCGGAGUUCCGGCGGCAGCACGCGAACCUGGUCGCCGGUGUUGGAGAACGUCAGGCGGCCGUCACCGAGCUGGUAGGUCAGCCGCCGGUUGACCCGGUAGGAACCGGCGGUGGUCUCGACCCAGGGCAGCAUGCGCAGCAGCCACCUCGGGCUGAUCGACCGCAUCUGCGGCGGUGUUUUCGUGGUGGUGGCCAGGUUGCGGGCCGCGGCCGUGCCCAGGCUGAGCUGUCCCCGCUCCUG